GAGUUACAAAGUAUGUGCCACCAUGCCCAGGUGUGGUGGGGCUUUUGUUGUUGUUGUUGGUUUUGUUUUUUAAUGUGGGCAGUGGGUGUCAAAUUCUCAGAUUCCCCCAUGUUUUCACAGUCAACACUUUACCAACUGGAGAAUAGAAUUGUAAAUGGAUUUUAUAUGGCUAGUUGACAAGAAAACAAACUUGUUUGAUAGCUUUUUUUUUUUUAAGUUAGUAGAAAUAGAGGCAGUAAAGGAGGCACUCCUGAAGUGAGUGUGUGCUAAUGAGCUGGGACACGAAUGAGCAUAUACCCAAAGCACUGGGCCAACAGUCUGAGGGCCCUCUGUAUGUUACUCACUACUGUCUUCUCUAGCAUUUGUCAGUCCUAGGCUGCUUUUAUGCCUACUGUGUUUCUUGCAUGUAGCCCAGAUGGGGAAAUGUUUCCUGCCAUCCUGCCACUGACUUCUUUUGUAGGCUAAUCUUGAUGCUGCUUUCUGCAGUUGCUACUCUUGCCACAACUCUUCCCCCGUGAAGUAGCCAUAUAAAGGUAAAAUGUUAGUGUUACCAACUGACAAGAUGGUGAGGUAAGCGAUAGGUCCUGCUGGAUAGGAAACUCAGUCUGCCCCUGAGGAGAGAAGUCGCACACCACUGGUGGGUAGCAGUGACAGAAAGCUUGAGAAGUCUGUUGCUGCCAGCUACACAAGUAUUAAUAAGUUUCUUAGACUAUUGCAAUUCAGUGGCUGAAUGUUCUGGAAGGAAAGAGGAGGCUUUCCUUUAGGGUCUGAUUGGCAAAAAUUAUCAUGCCCUGAUGCUUGAUUAAAUCCCUGAGUAAUUCCUUAUUGCUCCAAAGAUAAGGACAGGCCGUUUAGUAUGGCCAGGAAAGUGACCUGGUAAGCCUGGUCCCUUCAUAUUCCCUCCCACUCUGAGCUUUAGUCACACUAGCAGUCACUGCUGCUUACUGGCCUUAUUCUGUACUAUACAUCUCCGGUAACUGUAUAUCCUUCCCAAAUUGUCCUAAAGUUCUUUCUUGAAGACUGGGCAUGUGCUAACCCAGCUUGUUUCUCCAUGUACAUCUAUGUUCUCCAGAGUUCUGCUUGUGCCAGGUCUUAGCUUGUCUGCCCUUGUUCAGAUAUAUUCAUGGACUUCUUUCCUGUUCCAUUCCUGGAGAGUUCCCUGUUGUUUCAAGUUCUCAGUGUCAGUAGCUUUCCGCUGUACUUGAUGGAUGUGAAACACUCAUGGGAAAUAAGAGUGAACUAGAGAAACCAGGGUAUUCUUCCUCCUGGCAGCUGGUUUAUCCUUCUUGGCCCACUCUUCUCACAGGACAAACCACCAUUCCAGUUUCCACCACAUAUGUCUAUCCUUCAGUCUGAGGUUGAUAGUGUCCUCUUACUUUUGCUGGUAUCUGGGUUUUAUCCUGGAAUUCAGUUUUUCUCUUACCCACAAGUUACUCCCUUUUGCUCUUGGUUUCACAUAUUUAAGAAUUUUCACUUGCCACAGCAAUGUCACCUACCUACCAUAAUCACUUCUGGGGACCUUCCCUAACUGACACAGACUCGCGUGUUAAGUACUUGUCACAGCUGGAGUAUUAGUUAUAUUUGUAUAAUUGUACAACUUGAUCCCUAGUGUCUGCAGCAGAACCUUCUGUUACAGUAAGUACCUGGAUAGGUUUGGCUCUGCAUAUUCUGGGAAGACUAAGUCUAACUAUCUAGACAUCAAUCUCCAAGUACCUUACCGAUUUUUCUCCCAGACUGCCGUGGUUUCAGCAUGACUUUUAGUCAGGCCUUGAUUUCCUUUUUCCUUCCCUUGAAUAUAUCCCAUCUCUUUUAAGGAAAUAAAAAUACUUAGGAUGAGGAAGUCUACCAAAUUAGAUUUAUUAAUCAACAUUGCUUAUAUAAAGAGCUGUUUCUUCAGUGUGAGAAUCUUAGUUUACAAUUGUAGUUCCCAGUCAUGUACUUUCUUUCUGGCAGGACUAAAAACAAAAGAAUGCCUCAUGAGUGUAAUUCAGCAUAACUGAAAUAAAUGACUUGAUGUGAUUUAAAAUUGAACUAUCUUCAUUUUGUUUUUAGUUUUGGACAAUUUUAGAAGCCUUGUUGGAUAAUAAUGAAUAAAAAAAUCUACAUUUCCAGAUUUCUCUACAUAUUACUGACAGUCCCCACAAAUGAUUUAAAAGGGCUUUCUGAAAAACUGUAAUUUUAAGUAAAAACAUUUGACUUUUAAAUACAUUAGGCCAGGUGCCUUAGGACUUGGCAUUUUGGUGUGUUUACUUAAGGCCACAUGCCUGGCAGGUGGAGUUUUGGUGUGCCUAUUUAACCAUUUGCCAUUUGCAGUCUUAAUCUCAUCAAAAGGAAGAGAAAGAUUAAAGCAAACAAAGCUUUGUUUUGGAAAUGUCAGUCUUUUAUGAAAACUUUGCUUUAGUUCAGCUUGAUAACAUUUGAGAAUACAGUAGGGACUCAAUGAAAUUUUAACCAUAUGUAAUAUUUUAUAAUUGGUUUCUUAAAUAAGGCAAAUGCAUUUCAGCUCAAAUAGUAAAUUCUAUAUAAUAUUUUCACUCUUAAAAAGUUCAUCUUAGUUAAAAAUAAGGGAUGAGAUUCUUUGUCUCAGAUUUUUAUACUCUGGUAUGGUUAUGAAAUUCUGGGAACGAGUAAGAAUUUGUGUUAAAAUAUUAUUUACUUUAAAUCAAAGUAGUCUAGGACACUAAGAAACAAUAUGAGGUGUGGUCUGUCAAGAGAAAGAGGUCAGCAUUUCUGUGUGCAUCAUGUAUUGCUAUUAGUAGCUCUGAACAUGUCGGAGCUUCAGAGCAAAAGUACCGUGAGCUUCUGAUAAAGGAAAGGCGUGGCGUUCUUGGGGAAAGCGAGAAAAUAAUGUGUUAAAGAGGUGACAAAUGGAGGAAACAUCACAGUGUACUUAGGGUUUUGAGAGAGCACAGAGAACAUUUCAGAGUGGAAGACAUAGUGUAAGACCCCACAGGAAGGGUAUCUGAGUGUACUGAGUGGCUAGAAUGAUCUGUCCAAGUUCACUGAGAGAAUGCAGGAAAAUUAUUCAAAACAAGAGUAAAAGCUUUACAUAGAAUCUGAGAAAUGUAGUUAUUACUUUCAAGACAGUAGAAACUAUGGAGGGUUUUAGAAUAAAACUUUUUAAAAAUAUUUAUUUAUUAUGUAUACAGCAUACAGAUUUCUGUCUGCAUGUAUGCCUGCAGGCCAGAAGAGAACGCUAGAUCUCAUUAUAGAUGGCUGUGAGCCACCAUGUGUUAUAUCAUCUGCACUGAUGGUAUCCAGUGUGCCUGGGUUCAAGUCCACAUUCUUCCACUCUAGUUGUGUGAUGCUGAGCACUUCACUUCAACUACUAGAGAAGAGAAAUAAACAGUGGUCUCCUUAGAUCAAAGGCUGUAAAAUAACUCCAUCUGCAUAAUCGGUACACGAAGUUUUCUUUUUAAAUUUGAUUAAAGCCUUUAUUAAUGCUUUGAUCUGAAACAAAUUUAAAUUUUAUACACCCAAUCUAGUGAAAUAAAAAGUAAGAAAAGUAGGCAAAGGUAUGGAAUACACAUCUGCCUUAGCCCCUUGGCCCAUGCCUUCAAAAUCUUCCUAUAACAAGGUAAGGAGGGCAAAUAAAAUAGUUUCUUGGGCCAUGAUGACACAGUGGUUAAGAGUACUUGCUAUUCUUGGAGAGAACCUGGGUUCAGUUCCCAGCACCUGAUAGCUAUAUGAUGGCUUAAAACUAUCCAUAACUCCAUUUCCAGUUCCAGGUAUAUAUGUAACACACCCUGUUCUGCUUUCUGGGGGCAGCAGAUGUAUAAAUUGCUCACAUACAUAUAUACAGACAAAAUAUUGAUAAAAAUUUAAACAUGAGUUUAAAUUUUAAAAACUAUUUUUAAAGAUGAGAAAGCCAAGCAGGGUAUGGUGGCCAUUACCUUUAAAUUCCAGCAUUCAGUAGGCAGAGCCAGGUAGAUAUCUGAGUUCAAAGAUAGCCUGCUAUACAAAGUAAGUUCCAGGGUAAGCUAGGACUACAGAGAGAAACCCUCUCUCAAAAAACAAAACAAAAAAAUUAACAAGC
rnacentral:lncRNA from 1 species